rnacentral:lncRNA from 1 species
GCCAUUCUCCACCGUCCUCGCCGCCGUGUAGCUGUUCGCGCCGCCGUCCUCGCCGCUGAGGCCCCCUAUCCCUUUCUCUUCCGCGAACAGCAGCGGUCCGAGGCGCCGCCGCUGAUGUAUCCUUCUCUGAAACUCCGGCGCUGCUUCUGUAAAAUCUGGUGACUAAUUUUGACCGUUCUUUCCCUCUUUUUCUCUUUGUCUCGGUUUCCCUCUCUAAUCCCUCACUGGAAGCGCGCAAUUGAAGGGAAGAAGUCGAGCCCUAGCUUCUCUGUCUGAAAUCGCCGGUCGCCGCCCUGGCUUGACGCCGCCGGAUAUCCCUUGCUCGGAGAUCGCAACACCGCUAAAGUCCUUCCUCUGCUCACAGAUCGAGCCCUAGUUUUUCUCGAUCCACGCUGCCCUCUUCCGCCGACCUCUCUGCGCCGCCCUCUUCCGCCGCCUUCUGCUCGCCUUCUCUCCCCGUCAAUAUCCACGGACGCCUCCUUUUGUCCGUCACAUCUCCCCCUCUCCCGUCGCCUCUCUCUCUCCCCCACGUCCAAAUUUUAAACCCUAGGUCGUCGCCCCCGC